rnacentral:rRNA from 1 species
UUGACGGGGCCGCACAAGCGGUGGAGCAUGUGGUUAAUUCGAAGCAACGCGAAGAACCUUACCAGGUCUUGACAUCCCCUGACAACUCGAGAGAUCGGGCGUUCCCCUUCGGGGGACAGGGUGACAGGUGGUGCAUGGUUGUCGUCAGCUCGUGUCGUGAGAUGUUGGGUUAAGUCCCGCAACGAGCGCAACCCUCGACCUUAGUUGCCAGCAUUCAGUUGGGCACUCUAAGGUGACUGCCGGCUAAAAGUCGGAGGAAGGUGGGAUGACGUCAAAUCAUCAUGCCCCUUAUGACCUGGGCUACACACGUGCUACAAUGGUUGGUACAACGAGUUGCGAGUCGGUGACGGCGAGCUAAUCUCUUAAAGCCAAUCUCAGUUCGGAUUGUAGGCUGCAACUCGCCUACAUGAAGUCGGAAUCGCUAGUAAUCGCGGAUCAGCACGCCGCGGUGAAUACGUUCCCGGGCCUU